rnacentral:rRNA from 1 species
CAGUCGAACGGUGAAGAGGAGCUUGCUUCUUGGAUCAGUGGCGAACGGGUGAGUAACACGUGAGUAACCUGCCCUUGACUCUGGGAUAACUGCUAGAAAUGGUAGCUAAUACCGGAUACGACCCUCGGCCGCAUGGUCAGGGGGUGGAAAGAAUUUUGGUCAAGGAUGGACUCGCGGCCUAUCAGCUAGUUGGUGAGGUUAUGGCUCACCAAGGCGACGACGGGUAGCCGGCCUGAGAGGGUGACCGGCCACACUGGGACUGAGACACGGCCCAGACUCCUACGGGAGGCAGCAGUGGGGAAUAUUGCACAAUGGGCGCAAGCCUGAUGCAGCAACGCCGCGUGAGGGACGAAGGCCUUCGGGUUGUAAACCUCUUUUAGUAGGGAAGAAGCGUAAAAGUGACGGUACCUGCAGAAAAAGCACCGGCUAACUACGUGCCAGCAGCCGCGGUAAUACGUAGGGUGCAAGCGUUAUCCGGAAUUAUUGGGCGUAAAGAGCUCGUAGGCGGUUUGUCGCGUCUGCUGUGAAAUCUGGGGGCUCAACCCCCAGCCUGCAGUGGGUACGGGCAGACUAGAGUGCGGUAGGGGAGAUUGGAAUUCCUGGUGUAGCGGUGGAAUGCGCAGAUAUCAGGAGGAACACCAAUGGCGAAGGCAGAUCUCUGGGCCGUAACUGACGCUGAGGAGCGAAAGCAUGGGGAGCG